rnacentral:rRNA from 1 species
GACGAACGCUGGCGGCGUGCUUAACACAUGCAAGUCGAACGGUAAGGCCCUUCGGGGUACACGAGUGGCGAACGGGUGAGUAACACGUGGGUGAUCUGCCCUGCACUUCGGGAUAAGCCUGGGAAACUGGGUCUAAUACCGGAUAGGACUCCUGGCUUCAUGGUUGGGGGUGUAAAGCUUUUGCGGUGUGGGAUGGGCCCGCGGCCUAUCAGCUUGUUGGUGGGGUAAUGGCCUACCAAGGCGACGACGGGUAGCCGGCCUGAGAGGGUGACCGGCCACACUGGGACUGAGAUACGGCCCAGACUCCUACGGGAGGCAGCAGUGGGGAAUAUUGCACAAUGGGCGCAAGCCUGAUGCAGCGACGCCGCGUGAGGGAUGACGGCCUUCGGGUUGUAAACCUCUUUCAAUAGGACGAAGCGCAAGUGACGGUACCUAUAGAAGAAGGACGGCCAACUACGUGCCAGCAGCCGCGGUAAU